UACGGGGGGAGCAAGCGUUGUCCGGAUUUAUUGGGCGUAAAGAGCUCGUAGGCGGUUCGGCAAGUCGAAUGUGAAAUCUCCACGCUCAACGUGGAGGGGUCAUUCGAUACUGCCGUGACUCGAGUCCGGUAGGGGAGUGUGGAAUUCCCGGUGUAGCGGUGAAAUGCGCAGAGAUCGGGAGGAACACCCGUAGCGAAGGCGGCACUCUGGGCCGGUACUGACGCUGAGGAGCGAAAGCGUGGGGAGCGAACGGG
rnacentral:rRNA from 1 species